GACGAACGCUGGCGGCGUGCCUAAUACAUGCAAGUAGAACGCUGAAGAGAGGAGCUUGCUCUUCUUGGAUGAGUUGCGAACGGGUGAGUAACGCGUAGGUAACCUGCCUGGUAGCGGGGGAUAACUAUUGGAAACGAUAGCUAAUACCGCAUAAAAUUGAUUAUUGCAUGAUAAUUGAUUGAAAGAUGCAAUUGCAUCACUACCAGAUGGACCUGCGUUGUAUUAGCUAGUUGGUGAGGUAACGGCUCACCAAGGCGACGAUACAUAGCCGACCUGAGAGGGUGAUCGGCCACACUGGGACUGAGACACGGCCCAGACUCCUACGGGAGGCAGCAGUAGGGAAUCUUCGGCAAUGGGGGGAACCCUGACCGAGCAACGCCGCGUGAGUGAAGAAGGUUUUCGGAUCGUAAAGCUCUGUUGUAAGAGAAGAACGGGUGUGAGAGUGGAAAGUUCACACUGUGAACGGUAUCUACC
rnacentral:rRNA from 1 species